rnacentral:rRNA from 1 species
UACGUAGGGUGCGAGCGUUGUCCGGAAUUAUUGGGCGUAAAGGGCUCGUAGGCGGUUUGUCGCGUCGGGAGUGAAAACACACAGCUUAACUGUGUGCUUGCUUCCGAUACGGGCAGACUAGAGGUAUGCAGGGGAGAACGGAAUUCCUGGUGUAGCGGUGAAAUGCGCAGAUAUCAGGAGGAACACCGGUGGCGAAGGCGGUUCUCUGGGCAUUACCUGACGCUGAGGCGCGAAAGCGUGGGGAGCAAACGGG